GUGGGGAAUCUUGCGCAAUGGGCGAAAGCCUGACGCAGCCAUGCCGCGUGAAUGAUGAAGGUCUUAGGAUUGUAAAAUUCUUUCACCGGGGACGAUAAUGACGGUACCCGGAGAAGAAGCCCCGGCUAACUUCGUGCCAGCAGCCGCGGUAAUACGAAGGGGGCUAGCGUUGCUCGGAAUUACUGGGCGUAAAGGGCGCGUAGGCGGACAGCUUAGUCAGAGGUGAAAGCCCAGGGCUCAACCUUGGAAUUGCCUUUGAUACUGACUGUCUUGAGUUUGGGAGAGGUGAGUGGAACUCCGAGUGUAGAGGUGAAAUUCGUAGAUAUUCGGAAGAACACCAGUGGCGAAGGCGACUCACUGGCCCAAUACUGACGCUGAGGCGCGAAAGCGUGGGGAGCAAACAGGAUUAGAUACCCUGGUAGUCC
rnacentral:rRNA from 1 species